rnacentral:rRNA from 1 species
CACUCCUACGGGAGGCAGCAGUGGGGAAUAUUGGACAAUGGGCGCAAGCCUGAUCCAGCCAUGCCGCGUGAGUGAUGAAGGCCCUAGGGUUGUAAAGCUCUUUCACCGGAGAAGAUAAUGACGGUAUCCGGAGAAGAAGCCCCGGCUAACUUCGUGCCAGCAGCCGCGGUAAUACGAAGGGGGCUAGCGUUGUUCGGAAUUACUGGGCGUAAAGCGCACGUAGGCGGAUCGAUCAGUCAGGGGUGAAAUCCCAGGGCUCAACCCUGGAACUGCCUUUGAUACUGUCGAUCUGGAGUAUGGAAGAGGUGAGUGGAAUUCCGAGUGUAGAGGUGAAAUUCGUAGAUAUUCGGAGGAACACCAGUGGCGAAGGCGGCUCACUGGUCCAUUACUGACGCUGAGGUGCGAAAGCGUGGGGAGCAAACAGGAUUAGAAACCCCAGUAGUCCC